rnacentral:rRNA from 1 species
UACGUAGGCAGCAAGCGUUGUUCGGAGUUACUGGGCGUAAAGGGUGCGUAGGCGGUUGUUUAAGUUUGGUGUGAAAUCUCCCCGGCUCAACUGGGAGGGUGCGCCGAAUACUGAAUGACUCGAGUGCGGGAGAGGAGAGUGGAAUUCCUGGUGUAGCGGUGAAAUGCGUAGAUAUCAGGAGGAACACCGGUGGUGUAGACGGCUCUCUGGACCGUAACUGACGCUGAGGCACGAAAGCGUGGGUAGCAAACAGG